AAUAAACAAAAUUGCGGCUAUCAAAUAUCAGGGUUUUAAAAAAAGUAUAGAUGUUCCAUCUGCAAUACUUCCAAACACUUCUUUUACUCCAAGCAAUGGUCCUGAUUAUGUAUAUGGAGAUACUGGUUCAUUUCGUAUUGAUGUUCAUGCAAGCUUAUACGAUGAUAUAAAAAACUUUGAUAUAUAUAUAACAUUUGGGUAUUUCUUGCAAAAUGGAACAUAUUUUUUUGGAGUGGCAAAUACCAACAGAGUUUUUUACAAUACUUUAAGUUUCCUUGUAAAUAGCUCAUAUGCAGUUGAUUGGGUUGUUUUAAAUGCAAGAUAUUCUCUUACUUCGCCUGGUUUUAAUUCUUUAAAACUGAUUACAAGUUUAAUGACAAAUCAAACCAAUGUGAAG
rnacentral:lncRNA from 1 species